rnacentral:rRNA from 1 species
CACGUAGUUAGCCGGCGCUUCUUCUGCAGGUACCGUCACCUCACGGCUUCUUCCCUGCCGAAAGCGGUUUACAACCCGAAGGCCGUCAUCCCGCACGCGGCGUCGCUGCAUCAGGCUUUCGCCCAUUGUGCAAUAUUCCCCACUGCUGCCUCCCGUAGGAGUCUGGGCCGUGUCUCAGUCCCAGUGUGGCCGGUCGCCCUCUCAGGCCGGCUACCCGUCAUCGCCUUGGUAGGCCAUCACCCCACCAACAAGCUGAUAGGCCGCGAGCCCAUCCCCCACCGCAAAAGCUUUCCACCACCCCCCAUGCAGGAGACAGUGAAUAUCCGGUAUUAGACCCCGUUUCCAAGGCUUAUCCCGGAGAGGAGGGCAGGUUGCUCACGUGUUACUCACCCGUUCGCCACUCACCACCCCAGCAAGCUGGAGUGACCCGUUCGACUUGCAUGUGUUAAGCACGCCGCAGCGUUCGUCCUGAGCCAGGAUCAAACUCU